rnacentral:rRNA from 1 species
AGUGAACGCUGGCGGCGUGCCUAAUACAUGCAAGUCGAACGAAGUGGCGCACGGGGGUGUAAUAUAUAUUUAAUCUGCCCUACACAGAGGAACAACAGUUGGAAACGGCUGCUAAUACCCCAUAGUGUAGGAUGGGACUAUAUCGUAUCAGCUAGUUGGUAAGGUAAUGGCUUACCAAGGCUAUGACGCGUAACUGGUCUGAGAGGAUGAUGAGUAACAUUGGAACUGAGACACGGUCCGAACUCCUUCGGGAGGGAGCAGUAAGGAGUAUUGCGCAAUGGGGGAAACCCUGAAGCGGCAACGCCGCGUGAAGGAUGACACUUUGCGGAGCGUACACUCCUUUUAACAGGAAAGCGGUACCUGAAGAAUAAGCACCGGCUAACUCCGUGCCAGCAGCCGCGGUAAUUC